rnacentral:misc_RNA from 1 species
CUGAAGUGAUUUGGGGAUGUUGCUGGCCUUUUAUUUGAGGCAUUGUGCACUCUCUAAAGCAAUUCACGAUUUCCAUCACACCCUUGUGCACAUCCUGUAGGGUGCCCCUGCUCACCUCUUGGUGGGAGGGUGUCCUAUGUUAUUUCUGCCAUCUCACACGUUAUGAAUGCACCUUGUCGAUUAUUUGUAUAAAGUAAUCAUUAAAA